rnacentral:rRNA from 1 species
UACGUAGGGGGCGAGCGUUAUCCGGAUUCAUUGGGCGUAAAGCGCGCGUAGGCGGCCGCGGAAGUCGGGGGUGCAAUCCCGGGGCCCAACCCCGGAACCGCCCCCGAUACUCCGCGGCUCGGGUCCCGCAGGGGAAGGCGGAACUCCCGGUGUAGCGGUGGAAUGCGCAGAUAUCGGGAGGAACACCGGCGGCGAAGGCGGCCUUCUGGGCGGCGACCGACGCUGAGGCGCGAGAGCCGGGGGAG